AGCACACCUGCUGGCUGCUGCUGGGCUGCCUGAGCACUGGGCCUGGCAGUUGCUGGGCUGCUGGGUUUUGGGCUGCUUCUUUAUUUUCUUUUGCUUUUUUUGGGCUGCUGGGCUAUUGCGGGUCGGGUCGGAUCCGGGUCGUGUCAACCCGGCUGUUAAAUUUUUUUCUUUUUCUUUUUUCUUUCCCCCUUUCUUCUUCCUUCUUCUUUUUCUUUUUUUCUUUAUUUCUUCUUCCCCUUUUUCUUCCUUCUCCAUUCAGCCCUCCCCUUCCUCUGCUCUCGUCGACGGUGACCUGCUGCCCAGCGACGGCCAGCGGUGGCGUGGUCUCCCCUUUCCCCCUUUUUCUUUUUCUCUUCUUUCCUCUUUUUCUUUCUCUUUUUUUUUCUUUUGCUUGCAAUUUUUUUUUGCUUCUUUGCUUCUUGGUUUGUUUUGCUAGGUGUUGGGACGGCGGUGACGGUGAUGUCGUGGUGGUGGGCACAAUGGCGCGCGGUGGAGCUGCUGUUUUUUGUGUUUUUUCGCUCAAAAUUUUGUUUUUUUUCUUCUUUUUUUUGCUUUGCUUUUUUUGUUUUUUUUUCUCUUGUUUCUUUUCGCUGCUAAUUUUGGGGUUGAAAACCCCUUAUAUAUUGUUGAAUUUUCUUCCUUUUUGCAGGUUACAGGUGGCUAGGGAGGGCCUAGGUCGGCCGCCACCGUUGCAGGUGCGCAACUUGCGCUGGCGACAGCCAGAAGGACCAGAUUGCAAAUACAGUAAAAAUUCUGGGGCCAAAGUGUAAUUUUGGGAAAUUUUAGGGUCAAAAUAUAAUUCUAGAAAAGUUCAAUAGUUAAAAUAUAAUUUCAAAAAAGUUUAGGGAUUAAAAUAUAAUUUCAUAAAAAUUAGGAGUCAAAAUACAAUUUUUUUAAAAAAAUACGAAAUUUAUCCCGGAAAAAUUCAAUGAUUACAUCCUUCUUAUCUGUUCUGACAUUAUGUAAAUUAUUGUAGUUUACUUUUGAAAAAACUGUGAUAAGUCAUUGUACUAAAAAGAAAAAGCCGUUUCCUUCUUUAUCUCUUCUGUGCUUAUGUAAAUUAUUAUACUUUGCCUUUCUUAAAAUAAAUAAUAAAUAUUAUCUUGACUUGGAAAUUCUCAACUUUGCUUUUUU
rnacentral:lncRNA from 1 species